CAAAAUUGUGAAUAAUGCACCCAGCACAUGCCGCCGCCACACCUCCUCAGCGGUGACGCACAAGUCUGGCUAGUAUUGUUCCCACACCUCGACUGGUUUAUAUAUUACGUAAAAAAUGAAAAAAAAUAACUGAUACAUGACGUGCAUAGUGACAUGUGGGAAGCACAGCGGGUUGGAUGUUGGGUGGGGAAGUUUGUGAGGUUCGGGCAGCGGCCGCUAGGUAGCAGCAGUUGUCGCGUCAACAACACGCGCCGACCUCGGGAGCCACGUGGAGGCCCGACGCCCGCGGUGUGUGGCGCGCGGCGGCCCCUCCCUUGUGUCGCCCCGGCGGCCACCUCCCUCCUACUUGUUGCUCCCAUCACACGCCCGCGCACCUGUUGAUUAUGGCGCGGUGCCAUUUCCUCCACGCACACUGACUAGGGACAGGCUGGCAGGGUAUUUAUGUAGAUGAUCACACAGUCUUCAGGGAAUUCCGGUGUUCAGGAGAAUGCCACGUUCGCCAGUUAGGCGCAGCAAUCACGUCACGACUAAUCGCUUUAUCACGUGCCGUUGCGUAGGAGUCAGCGUUGUGUUACAUGGCGUGGCUUUGCUCCACUAGUGACACCUGUUGGUUAGCGCAUCCCUUUCAUCUCGUCGUUCCCGCCACAGAAUGGGAAUGAGUUGUGAUGCACCGAAGCCGUGUCAUUGGAGCUUCGAGAGGACCCUUGGUGAGCGUCACGAGUGGAGCAGCCAGUGACGUACAGAACUCUUUUUCGGCUGCCAAGCGUGCCACGGCAAAGCCGCGUCAUCGGAGCUUCGAGAGAAUCGUUGGUGACGUCUUAAGUGAAUCUGUAACGCUUUGCAAACCCAACUCAGUUACUAACUAGGAUUAAGCCAGCCGGCAGCAUGUCAUGGCAGAAGGAAUGAACUUCCCGAAGCACCGGAACUGCGAUACGAGAGCUUCGAGAGGAACUUUGGUGGCGACACAAGUGAAGCAGUGACGUGAAGGUCGCUUAUUUACCCACCAGUAUGAGAUUAGACAGCAAGACCAUGAGUCAUAGCCUGGGUCACUGGGGUCUUCAGCCAGUCCUCGGAAGGUGACCUGCUGACCUGAGCUAGCCCGGCGCUGGUGGGCCUGGCUGGGUGGUGAGGAUUGCCUUGGGGGUGCUGGGCCGGGCGGUGCUGGGAUGUGCUGGUAUCCUGAGCUGGAGUGGGACCUUCGGUGUUGGUAGAGACCUGCCCAUGGUCGUGAGGGGAUGUAUGACCCUGACUGAGAUCUCUUGUGGCCUGGAAAUUUUGAGUGUUUUGUUAAUAACAACUUUGUGGAUAGUAAAGUUAGUCUAGUAUUUACAACAAAGAAAGUAAAGAAAGCACAAUAGAUCAAAGUGUAUGUAUCUAUAAUAUUCGUAUGCCUGCAAUUCUCUUUGUGUAUUUAAUAAAUUAAUCAUCUUUUCCUGAGAAAAUAUGAAAUGAGUAAAAAGAUGUGAAGAUAUUGUUUAUUUUAAUGACUUAUCUUUUUUAAUUAAUACUUGAUGUUUCAAAUGAAUUAUGUUUUUUUUUUAUCUGCUGUUGCUUCUUGGAUAUCACCAUAUACACAGAAAAGACAAAUUGUUUUAUCUUUUCACACUGACUGACAUCCACCCCCUGUUCUUCUUCUGGGUGAAUAAAGGCAAGUCCAAAAUGUA